GAGAAGCCUCUCUACCGCCCAAAAUCAAAAGGUAAUAACAACAGUUCCCCCCCUCUGCCCCUUUUCCCCCCUCUUCCUUACCCAUCAAUCUCAUCAAAAAGCUUUCUUCCCCCUACCCCUAUAGCUAAUAGCCCUUCAUUCAUUCAUUCCCCCAAUUUCCUCUCUUUUUCACCCCCUCUCUUCCUUCACUUUACCACCCACAAAUCAUGGAACAAAUCUCUGCAACUCUCACCUCUCCAUCCAUGGAGAAGAUUUCAUCAAAACCCAUCUAGCCAAAACCUAAAAAGCUUCAAUCUUUGUCAUCCAUGGACAAGAUCUCAUCAAAACCCAUCUAGCUAAAACCUAAAAAGACUCGAUCUUUACUCUCAAAUUCCUUCCCACUUUUCAGUUUUCAAUCCUGGAGAAGCUCUACUUCAUGGAGUCUCACCACCACAACCACCAC
rnacentral:lncRNA from 1 species